rnacentral:rRNA from 1 species
UAUCUCUGUAGAGUCUGCAUAUCAAUAAGCGGAGGAAAAGAAACUAACUAGGAUUCCCUCAGUAACGGCGAGUGAAGCGGGAAGAGCUCAAAUUUGAAAUCUUCAAGGUUCUACCUUGACGAAUUGUAGUUUAAAGAAGUGUUUUCUGUUGGAGUUUUGGUAAAAGUUCUUUGGAAUAGGACAUCAUAGAGGGUGAGAAUCCCGUAUUUGACCAUUACUUUCCAGCGUUGUGAUACACUUUCAAAGAGUCGGAUUGUUUGGGAAUGCAGUCCAAAAUGGGUGGUAAAUUUCAUCUAAAGCUAAAUACUGGCGAGAGACCGAUAGCGAACAAGUACCGUGAGGGAAAGAUGAAAAGAACUUUGAAAAGAGAGUUAAACAGUACGUGAAAUUGUCAAAAGGGAAGCGUUUGACACCAGUGUUGUUUUCUCGAAAAUCAAUUAAAAAAAGUUGGAUUUUGUAUUGUUAAGACCUUAUCAGCUUACUGUACUCUUUUCUUGCUUUUUUUAAUGCACUUUUCGUUUAACAAGUCAACAUCAAUUUCUUUUGUUGUAAAAGAGUCAUUGGAAGGUGGCUUUCACUUCGGUGAAAGUGUUUAUAGCCUUUGGCUUCUGCAAUCGGAGAGAUUGAGGUCUGCAGCGUAGAUCCUUCGGGGCUAGAUACGUAGAUGCUAAGUUAUAGUUUUUUAUAGACAACUUGUUGACUAUAAUUAAUCAUGUAGCUUACUCGUUUGCGCUAUUUUACCUACGCUUAGGAUGUUGAUAGUCACAGCGUGUAC